GGCUCAAUGGAUAGAGCGUCAGCUUGGGGACUGAAGGGUCCCGGGUUCGAUUCUGGUCAAGAGCACAUGCAUGGGCUGCAGGCUCGGUCCAACGUGCAGGAGAGAGCCAAUCAAUGAUUCCCCCUCAUCAUUGAUGUUUCUAUCUCUCUAUCUCUCUCCCUCCCUCUCUGAAAUCAAUA